GCCCUCGUAGCUCAGGGGAUAGAGCACCGGUUUCCUAAACUGGGGGUCGCGCGUUCGAUUCGCGCCGGGGGCA
rnacentral:tRNA from 1 species